rnacentral:rRNA from 1 species
AGUGAACGCUGGCGGUAGGCCUAACACAUGCAAGUCGAACGGCAGCACAGUAAGAGCUUGCUCUUACGGGUGGCGAGUGGCGGACGGGUGAGGAAUACAUCAGAAUCUACUUUUUCGUGGGGGAUAACGUAGGGAAACUUACGCUAAUACCGCAUACGAUCUACGGGUGAAAGCAGGGGAUCUUCGGACCUUGCGCGAUUGAAUGAGCCGAUGUCGGAUUAGCUAGUUGGCGGGGUAAAGGCCCACCAAGGCGACGAUCCGUAGCUGGUCUGAGAGGAUGAUCAGCCACACUGGAACUGAGACACGGUCCAGACUCCUACGGGAGGCAGCAGUGGGGAAUAUUGGACAAUGGGCGCAAGCCUGAUCCAGCCAUACCGCGUGGGUGAAGAAGGCCUUCGGGUUGUAAAGCCCUUUUGUUGGGAAAGAAAAGCAGCAGGUUAAUACCCCGCUGUUCUGACGGUACCCAAAGAAUAAGCACCGGCUAACUUCGUG